GAAGAAAGUUUCUUUAAUAAUUGAAAGAGAGAGCGCAGUGGCGUUCUGUCGCAGGGAAGAUGGUGCCUUCUGGCGCAUAUGAAGCUACACAGAGAUCAUUAGGUACCAUCUUUCCUCGACAGAACUCCACUCCGACCUCUACCAUGCAUGGCUUUGUGCUCUAUAGGUAACUCCCUUCUCUCUCUUCCCCAGUCUCUCUCAACACACACAAACGCACACAUAUUUUUGCAGCAGGUCAUCGCUAGAAUGAGAUUGAAGAUGCAUCUGAGCAGGCCAUUGGGAUUAUAAUGCAAGAACGAUUUCUGUGUCAGGUGGAAGCUUGUCCGUGAGGUGUCUGAUCUAUUGAAAUGAUCAACAACGAUUAUGUCUCAGUGGUGUGGAAGGACUUGUUUCUUCAAAACGAUAUGAAUCAUGGCCUUGGCAGGUAAAAUAAGAGUGUAGGAAGCCUAGGAUAUGUUCAUUGAGGAGGCAAAGGUUGUGCUUUUUGGCAGAUGGUCUCAAAGUGGUAAGGGCCCUUCCAAGCAACUAGGGUAGUUCUGCUUUGAAUUAGCUUCUUUUUCAUGACAUUAUAAACAGUUCAACCUUCCCAUUUUAUGUUUUUGUGUUAUGUGAGUAAUGUGUUCGUAUAUAGCUAGAGAAGACAAUAAUUCGUGGCUCAACACCUUGGUUUGACCGGUGAUCAACAGAUAACCAUGGAGGUUGUCCCUCCAACUAUACCUGUGUACAUCUUCAACUUUUUGCUCUUUUCAGAUGCAGAA